rnacentral:rRNA from 1 species
AUUGAACGCUGGCGGCAGGCCUAACACAUGCAAGUCGAGCGAGCGGCGGACGGGUGAGUAAUGUCUGGGAAACUGCCUGAUGGAGGGGGAUAACUACUGGAAACGGUAGCUAAUACCGCAUACCAUCAGAUGUGCCCAGAUGGGAUUAGCUAGGAGGUGGGGUAACGGCUCACCUAGGCGACGAUCCCUAGCUGGUCUGAGAGGAUGACCGGCCAAGUUGGAACUGAGACACGGUCCAGACUCCUACGGGAGGCAGCAUGGUGGAAUGUUGCACAAUGUGCGCAAGCCUGAUGCAGCCAUGCCGCGUGUAUGAAGAAGGCCUUCGGGUUGUAAAGUACUUUCAGCGGGGAGGCGUUACCCGCAGAAGAAGCAACGGCUAACUCCGUGCCAGCCGCCGCGGUAAUAC